GGACCAGUAGUUCAACGGCAGAACAAUACUCUUAUAAAGUAUGAACGAAGGCUCGACUCCUUCCUGGUCCACAA
rnacentral:tRNA from 1 species